CCUCCCUGGCAAUGGGCAAAGAGACACCUUAUUGGUGGUGCUGUUCUUAGAUCAGUCGGGGGCAGGCAAAUGCAGCCCUGGGUUCAUCCUAGCUAGAUGCCUGGCUUUGGUGGCCAAAGCUGUUUUAUGCCUUGGACAUAAAA